UACAGAGGUCUCAAGCGUUGUUCGGAUUCAUUGGGCGUAAAGGGUGCGUAGGCGGCGCGGUAAGUCGGGUGUGAAAUCUUGGAGCUUAACUCCGAAACUGCAUUCGAUACUGCCGCGCUUGAGGACUGGAGAGGAGACUGGAAUUUACGGUGUAGCGGUGAAAUGCGUAGAUAUCGUAAGGAAGACCAGUGGCGAAGGCGGGUCUCUGGACAGUUCCUGACGCUGAGGAGCGAAAGCGUGGGUAGCAAACAGG
rnacentral:rRNA from 1 species